ensembl:snoRNA SNORA70 Small nucleolar RNA SNORA70
UUGCAGCUAAUUAAGCUGACCAGGACCCUUUCCCCAUGGGAGCCUGGAGUGCAAUGGUUGCAAACAGCAGCCUCCUUGGUAGUGUAUGCAGCCUGUUGCCUAUAUGGCUGCCCUAAGGGACCCUGGAGACUAUU